rnacentral:rRNA from 1 species
AAGGGUUCUGUAUUAUAUAGGAAAACCCGCUGAACUGAAGCAUCUCAUUAAGCGGAGGAAAAGAAACUAACUAGGAUACUCUUAGUAAGUGCGACCGA